rnacentral:rRNA from 1 species
UGGCGGACGGGUGAGUAAUGUCUGGGAAACUGCCUGAUGGAGGGGGAUAACUACUGGAAACGGUAGCUAAUACCGCAUAACGUCGCAAGACCAAAGAGGGGGACCUUAGGGCCUCUUGCCAUCGGGUGUGCCCAGAUGGGAUUAGCUAGUAGGUGGGGUAAAGGCUCACCUAGGCGACGAUCCCUAGCUGGUCUGAGAGGAUGACCAGCCACACUGGAACUGAGACACGGUCCAG